CUGGCUUAUGGGCAGUGCCUCCCUCUGGGACCCCCUCCAGCCCCCACAGAUUCUCCGACAGUAAUCUCCUGUUUUCUUGUCUCCCUCAGGACACUGGGUUCCCUACGAGCUGCCCCAGGCUUAAUGAUUGUCCAGAAGGUGGCUAUAAAGGGAGCCUGGGAGGCUGGGUGGAGGAGGGAACAGAGAAAGCCUAACUCAGCAGAUCUGGUCACUGAGAGAGCCACAGGCAGGAGCUGUGGUCGGAGGCUUCGUGUCUUGGCCAGUGGGGCCUGCUCCCUUCCACCAUGGCCGCCCAAGGCUACGGCUAUUACCGCGCUGUGAUCUUCUCAGCCAUGUUUGGAGGCUACAGCCUGUACUACUUCAACCGCAAGACCUUCUCCUUUGUCAUGCCAUCGUUGGUGGAGGAGAUCCCUCUGGACAAGGACGACUUGGGUGAGCCACGGAAGGGCAGGGUGGUGGGCCCUGGGACCCAGGACCCGUAGGACAAGUUGGUGUUGGUGGCAGUGUUGUGCAUAAAGGCACGUAGCGUGUGUGGAGCGUCUGCACAGUGGAGGGUAGGGAGAGUCGGCACACGCCGACCGGACUCUGAAAACCAUACGCCUGGCUGUGGGCUAAGCACCAGGAGUGUCGUCGAUACGCGUCUGAGGAGGGCUGCCUAUGUGAUGUGUCUUUGUGUGCCUGUGACCCACACGUGCCCCCACAGGUCUGGCUUAUUCCGAGUAUGUUUAGGGGGCUUCUGGGCAUGGUUUCCACACCUCGUGGGUGCGUGCUAAGACCACAGGGUGCACGCUGGCCACUGACGUCGUAAGCAAUGGGAACUGGAGACUUGGCACAGAAACUUCACGUGGCCCCGCACGCUACAUUUCAGGGGGAAUAACGUCCUUGAUUCCAAUUCUAAGCUCUUUGCCCCAUGCCCAGAGGUGGGGGUGACGGAACUGCUAGAAGCCCUGGGUCGGCAUCCAGGGUGAGGAGGAAAUGUAAUCAGGCAUGGGUAGAUCCCAGGGUGGGGCUGCCCUGUUCUCCCCUUCUUGCCCCCUGACAGCUGCAGCUGGAACUCUCCAGGUUGAAAAGUCAAGGGUCAGCCUGGGGCUAGCGCCGGCGGUGAGGAGGGGUAGCGGCGCCCCUGAAAGGGUGCUGGGAUUCCAACACAGGCUGCUUCUGGUCCCCUUGGAAGGAACCUAUCUCACCCUGCCAGGCACCUCUACACACGUGACCCCAUGCCUUCCUCCAUCCCUCCUGUGCCCUUGCCCUGGCCCCUAACCCCCUAGGUGUGCUGCUUCCUGCUCCCCUCCCCUGCAGGGCUCAUCACCAGCAGCCAGUCGGCAGCCUACGCCAUCAGCAAGUUUGUGAGCGGGGUGCUGUCUGACCAGAUGAGUGCCCGCUGGCUCUUCUCUUCUGGGCUGCUUCUGGUCGGCCUGGUCAACGUAGUCUUUUCCUGGAGCUCCAUGGUACCUGUCUUUGCUGCUCUCUGGUUCCUCAAUGGCCUGGCACAGGGGCUGGGCUGGCCUCCCUGUGGGAAGAUCCUGCGGAAGGUGAGUGUCUGCUCCCAAGAAGCCAGUUGAGACUGGCCGAGGGGAUACCUACAGGGCAUGUGGGAGUACCAGCACUCCCAUCCCCGAGCGGGUUCCUCGGGAGUUCCAGUCCAACUCCUGUUGCUCGUCGAGAUAUUUUAGGAGCUAAACAUGGUGGGAUCAGGUGGCAGAUGAGGGAAUUGGCCCUGCCAAGUAGAGGCGCCCUCUUCCUCGUCCCUGUAAUGUGAGCUUCUAGGUCUGCCCCUGCCCCACCUGACCCUCACCUUCAACAUGUUUAAUGUGGGCACCUACUCUGAACCCUCUGCCCCACAGUGGUUUGAGCCAUCUCAGUUUGGCACCUGGUGGGCCAUUCUGUCAACCAGCAUGAACCUGG
rnacentral:lncRNA from 1 species